CGGCGCGAUGGCCGAGGUCGACGGCGGCGGCCGGGUGUGGGUCGGCAAGGCCGGCGACCCGUUCUGGAUCGAGCCGGACGUCCUGC
rnacentral:tRNA from 1 species